AGCGAACGCUAGCGGCGGGCCUAACACAUGCAAGUCGAGCGCAUACCUUCGGGUAUGAGCGGCGGACGGGUGAGUAACGCGUAGGUCAUCUACCCUUUGGUGGGGGAUAACCCAGGGAAACUUGGGCUAAUACCGCACGAGGUCUACGGAUCAAAGCCUUCGGGCGCCAGAGGAUGAGCCUGCGUCGCAUUACCUAGUUGGCGGGGUAACGGCCCACCAAGGGGACGAUGCGUAGCUGGUCUGAGAGGAUGAUCAGCCACACUGGGACUGAGACACGGCCCAGACUCCUACGGGAGGCAGCAGUGGGGAAUAUUGCGCAAUGGGGGAAACCCUGACGCAGCCACGCCGCGUGGGUGAUGAAGGCCUUCGGGUUGUAAAGCCCUGUCGGGAGGGACGGAAUUCUUGACGGUACCUCCAAAGAAAGCACCGGCUAACUCCGUGCCAGCAGCCGCGGU
rnacentral:rRNA from 1 species